rnacentral:rRNA from 1 species
AGUGAACGCUGGCGGUAGGCCUAACACAUGCAGGUCGAACGGCAGCACAGUAAGAGCUUGCUCUUACGGGUGGCGAGUGGCGGACGGGUGAGGAAUACAUCGGAAUCUACUUUUUCGUGGGGGAUAACGUAGGGAAACUUACGCUAAUACCGCAUACGACCUACGGGUGAAAGCAGGGGAUCUUCGGACCUUGCGCGAUUGAAUGAGCCGAUGUCGGAUUAGCUAGCUGGCGGGGUAAAGGCCCACCAAGGCGACGAUCCGUAGCUGGUCUGAGAGGAUGAUCAGCCACACUGGAACUGAGACACGGUCCAGACUCCUACGGGAGGCAGCAGUGGGGAAUAUUGGACAAUGGGCGCAAGCCUGAUCCAGCCAUACCGCGUGGGUGAAGAAGGCCUUCGGGUUGUAAAGCCCUUUUGUUGGGAAAGAAAAGCAGCAGGUUAAUACCCCGCUGUUCUGACGGUACCCAAAGAAUAAGCACCGGCUAACUUCGUG